GUUUGUUUCUCUCAUCUGUGGGUUGUUGUACUGUGGCAGUUGUGUGUUGCUGUGAAGCUGAAAGCUAUGCUGCUGGUACUUCAAAUACCAGCAGGGUCAUCCAUGGUGGACAGGUUUCAUCAGAGCUUCCAGACUAAGACAGACUAGGAAGAAAGACCUGGGCACCCACUUCCAAAAAAACUGGCCAUGAAAAGCAGUGGCAUAGUGGCAGAAGAUACUGUGCAUGUAUCCUCAACAAUACUUAUUUCUGACCACUGCUGUAGUUCAAAGAAACAUACUUGGAAGGAUACGUUUUACUGGUCCUUUACAUAUCCUGGAGACGAGUCCUUUGUCAGAUUGAUGGAUAGCACUAUCUUCUUCCACUCUACGAUGAGCCCUGAGCUAACAUGUGCUGCCAAUACUCCUGUUUUUACUGAGGAAGGCUGUCCCUGAGCUAACAUCCAUGCCUAUCUUCCUCUACUUUAUAUGUGGGAUGCCUACCACAGCACGGCUUGCCAAACGGCUGUCAGCCUCAGCACCCCCCCCUCCAACCCACCUAUGGCUUCAAGUUGCAUCUGGACAACACGUGAUGCUGGAAUAGAAUUUUACAACCAGACACAAAGAAGAAGAGAAAAGUCAAGCGCUUAGUGAGAAUCAGUUGCAGGAAGUAAAGAGUGGAAUCGAGAGAUAGCUAGGCUGGCCCUGAGCUAACAUCCGUGCCCAUCUUCGUCUGCUUUAUACUUGGGACGCCUACCACAGCAUGGUGUGCGAAGCAGUGUCAUGUCUGCAACUGGGAUCCGAACCGGUGAACCCCGGGCCGCGGAGAAGAAGAACCUGCGAACUUAAUUGCUGCACCACCGGGCCUGCCCCAGGCAUUUCUUUUAAAGAUUAUUUUUGAGAAGCUAAUAGAAUGUCAAAAUGUGGUUAUCAAAGUUGCAUUGUGAUGUUUGUGCUUCUAGUUCAGAGAUGUGUGCCUUAGAUAAAAAACGGACAGUUGUCUACAUAGGGAUGGUAUUUAAAACUUGGGAUAGACCACCAAAAAAGUUAGUUGUUAUGGGUUAAAUAUGUGCAUUCCCCCAAAAUUCACAUGAUAAAAUCCUACCCCCUAAUGUGAUAGUAUUAGGAGGGGUAGCCUUUGGAAGGUUUUUAGGUCACGGGAGCAGGGCCCUUAUAAAUAGGAUUAAUGCUCUUAUAAAAUGGACCCCAGAGAGCUUUCUCCCCUUUUUUCUGCUGUGUGAGGGUACACGGAGAAGUUGGCAGUCUGCACCUGGAAGAGGGCCCUUCCUAGAACCUGACCAUGCUGGCAUCAUGAUCUUGGAUUUCCAGCCUCUAGAACUAUGAGUAAAUGAAUUUCUGCUCAUGGUAUUUUGUAAAUUCUCAGUCAUUAUAUUUUUAUUGUUUGAAAUGUAUGUAUAAUCUAUAAUAAUUGUGUUAUAUAUGAAUAUAAUAAAUAUUUUAUAUAUAUUGUUGCUUUUUUUUUUGGAGGAAGAUUAGCCCUGAACUGACAUCCAUGCC
rnacentral:lncRNA from 1 species